AAUCACCGGACGUGGAGGAAGGUGGACGUGUUUUCUGAGCUGACCUAUUCUGUCGCCUACACUUACCCGCACCCACUUAUUAGUUGAUUGUGUCAUUACUCAAACACUAGUGCAAGUAUUUGACAAUUUAUUGUCAUUUAAUAGCGGUUUUAGCAGAAAAUUCAUUGCGAGUGAAGGACAGGUAACAUAGCGUCACCCAGCGCCAUCUUGAAAAAAUUUCAAAACUUUCAAAGCAAAGGUGUUAAGUCUAUACUUCACCUGAAAUUAGUCUCUCCUUUCCCGGGAAACACAAGAACAAUGUGUUGCUGAUGUUUACUGAAUUUUUAAUGAACUUUUAACGAACUUUUAGUGUCCAUUAUUUUAUCCAAAUCGAGUAGUUUGAAAAUGAUCAGUAUUCUUGUGUAGUUUCACAGUCUGUGUACUCGUUCUCAUUCUUCAUUUUACCUUUUAUCGCUUGAUAAAUUU
rnacentral:lncRNA from 1 species